rnacentral:tRNA from 2 species
GCCGGGAUCGCCUAGCCUGGUAGGGCGCGCGCCUGGAAAGCGCGUACUCGCAAGGGUUCGAGAGUUCAAAUCUCUCUCCCGGCG